rnacentral:rRNA from 1 species
AACGAACGCUGGCGGCAUGCCUAACACAUGCAAGUCGAACGAGACCUUCGGGUCUAGUGGCGCACGGGUGCGUAACGCGUGGGAACCUGCCCUUAGGUUCGGAAUAACUCCCCGAAAGGGGUGCUAAUACCGGAUAAUGUCUUCGGACCAAAGAUUUAUCGCCUUUGGAUGGGCCCGCGUUGGAUUAGCUAGUUGGUAGGGUAAAAGCCUACCAAGGCGACGAUCCAUAGCUGGUCUGAGAGGAUGAUCAGCCACACUGGGACUGAGACACGGCCCAGACUCCUACGGGAGGCAGCAGUGGGGAAUAUUGGACAAUGGGCGAAAGCCUGAUCCAGCAAUGCCGCGUGAGUGAUGAAGGCCUUAGGGUUGUAAAGCUCUUUUACCCGGGAUGAUAAUGACAGUACCGGGAGAAUAAGCGCCGGCUAACUUCGUG